GUGUUCGUUGAAAGGAGAGACGGUUGGCAUCUCCCCUGUCUGGGACAGGAACAUCUCUUAGAGCUUUCCUGUUACACAACCGGUUAAGGCUACCCACUUCUGUGGAUCUUAUACCCAAAUUUUUU